rnacentral:tRNA from 1 species
GCGCGGUUAGCCUCAGUGGUAGAGCUUUCGAUUGCAGCUCGAAGGGUCACUGGUUCGAACCCGGUCUCGCGCU